rnacentral:misc_RNA from 1 species
UUUAAGGACAAUAAGUAAAAUUUAUUUUUAUAAAUACGAUUUUUGAAAUUGAGAGAAAUUUUCUUAAAAAAAUAAAAAAUGAAGAACAGAUCAAACUGAACCGAACUGAGCCAGUUAGUAUGGUUCAGUCUAGUUUUUGUAUUUAUUGUAAUUAGGUUUUCAGUUUUCAACCAAACCAGCCAAAUGAACAGCCCUAAAUGAAGCAAGGCAAUUCUACAAUACUACAGGAAAACCAAAAGCUGGCAGUGUAAGCUAACAGAUGAAGUACAAAAAUAACUGAACUAUACCAUUCCAAUAAGGCUUCAACAUGAUGGUAAUAUGGCAUCCCUCUUCAGCUAGCAUUAAAGCACGAAGAGAACUGCCUAAUCAUUAACCUAAAUUGGGUAGCUAUACAUGAAUCAAUACUAAGAUGAUGAUGAAGACAAUCACAACCACUAACAUUGCAAUAUUUCCAUUUUGUUCGAUUCUUAAACAGGUAUCAUCAAGUUAAAUGCUUACAAGAACUUGUGCCAUCAACUUGACCUCAUGGACCAUUACAAACACAUCCAUACAUCUACACCAUCAAUUUGCUAAGAUUGAGGCCAAUACCAAUAUACAGACUAAAGAAAAUAGUCUAUUUACAUCUGUAGCAUUUAAAAUUUGACAGGAUUCGGCAAAAUAAGCAUGGAAGACAGUAAUCGAGGACCAGAGUAUAUGUUUAUAGGCUCAGGGAUGGUUUUGAAAAACAUUCAGAAUUGACGGCUUUUCAGCACCUCAGCCCUCUGUCACAAGACAUAUGUGUGAACUGCUUAACAUCUCUGGCAUAUCAAACAUUCUGUGUCCCCUGCCCUUUAAGGCUACAAAGGGCUUCUAAACUUAUUAACAAGCUUACACACAAAGGUUUUUGUCAACGAGUUGAACAUUAGAAAGAAA